ensembl:lncRNA
GUGGGGUUGCAUUGGAGGAAAUGCAUUAAGGUCAUAAUACUCUUUGUUUUAUGAUUUCACCGUGACAUUUGACUUGAGGAUAUGCUGUCUUGAAUAGCACGGGGAUUGUGAAUGCCUCACGCAUGCUAAAGGCAAUAAAUGAACACAUUGCAGACUUAAUUUGUGUCUGCAAAACCAUAAACGGAAAGUAAAACAGUUUCAUAGUACUGUGGUAAGAUAUCAGGCCUACAGUUUAAAAAAAUGCUGGGUUAUUUUUUUUUAACCCAAAUGCAGGGCUCAGCCUGUUGGGUCAUUUUACUGGGUUAUUUUUAAUGUUUAUUUUUGUUUUAUUUUUCUAUCCAACCACUGGGUCGAGCCUGCUGGAUCAUAUGCUGGGUUGUUUUUUGUCUAGUGCUGGGUAGUUUUGUGUUACCCAGCCAUUGGGUUAGUGGCUAUACACCCCUCCCCUCCCUCUGACGAAACAUCCCAGCUGCUUACAGUCAGAGCAUGGGCUUUUUGAGUCCACUACAGGAGAGAGUGGUUCUCAGCGCCACCGAUUUGGUUUACUUCUUCAGCAAAAUAAAGGACAGACAUCUGAAACAAGGUCCAUUCUCAACUGAGUCGAAGUUCGUGAGGCAUGAAAGAGCAACCUGCAAGCAAUGGAAUGGGCCUCUGGGAUAUGCUGAUCACUGGUCAUUUUCAGCAUCAAGACAUAUAAGAGUUAACAUGCUAUUUCGAGCCUAUAUUGCUCUUGGCAUACACAACGUCAAAAUCAAUUCCCAGCAUGGUCAAACACAACUCCUGUGGUCAGCACACUCAAGCUCUGAUUUAACAGGCAUUCAGCAGCUAAGCAGAACAUAAGUGGCCAACUAUCCGCCCGCUAUGUGCGCUGUGUCUUUACGAUGGAGCUGGAUGGUAUAUUUUUCUCAAUCAGAGGAGACAGCCAUGUGGUCAGAGGAGAGGCACAGAUGGCGGGGAGGGAUGCUGGAGACCACAGCACUGAAUCUCCCUGCUGGGAACUACAGGAGACUAACAGCUAAAGCACAAAAAAAAAGAAAAAAAAAAAAAAAAAAAAAAAAAAAAAAAAAAAAAAGAUAGCAAAACACUGCAUUUAAACGGUGACAUUUUCAGCUCACAACGUUUUGUCCAAAUAUAAAACUUAUUUACUCGCUAUUAUGUCAUUAUCUUUUGUGCACUUUUGAUUUCAAACUAGGUAUUUUGCUGUUUUGAAUACAAUGAAAGUGACCUGAGACUUGAGCUUCAAAAAAGCACUGUAAAAGGGAUCUGUGAACUAUAUUACAAUUGACUGAAGUCGUAAUAACUUUAUGUGAGGAACAGAACUGAACUUAAGUUAUUCACUGAAAAAGUAGGUCUCAGAUUUCAUUCGGGCCUCUGAAUAUUUAAAACCGCCACAUUCCUGCAACAACAGAGAUCAAUUAAAAGACAUGAAUAAUGGUUUUCGGCAUCUAUCAUCUGCAUCGAAACCUGGCACGAUAAGUUUAAAUUUACAUGACAAGAUCUGUGCAGCCAUGCACUAUAUGAAAGAAAUCUGUAGUAAAGUGAAUAAUGUCCUGGCAGACAUUUUCUUCUUAAACUAAUGCAAUUCAUAUAUAUA